rnacentral:rRNA from 1 species
CCUACGGGUGGCAGCAGUGAGGAAUAUUGGUCAAUGGCCGGAAGGCUGAACCAGCCAAGCCGCGUGAAGGACGAAGGUGCCAAGCAUUGUAAACUUCUUUUGUCAAGGGACAAAAUCAGGCUCGAGAGCCUGACCGAGGGUACUUGAAGAAAAAGCAUCGGCAAACUCGGUGCCAGCAGCCGCGGUAAUAGGAGGGAUGUGAGCGUUAUCAGGUUUUAUUGGGUUUAAAGGGGGCGUAGGGGGGCAGUAAAGUCAGUGGGAAAAGCCCGGGGGUCAACCGUGUCGAGCCGUCGGAACUGGCAGUCUUGAGUGUGCGAGAAGUAUGCGGAAUGCGGGGUGUAGCGGUGAAAUGCGUAGAUAUCACGCAGAACGCCGGUUGCGAAGGCAGAAUGCCGGCGACCGACUGACGCUGAGGCGCGAAAGCGUGGGGAUCGAACAGGAUUAGAUACCCCAGUAGUC